UGAAAGGCCCAUCAAGAACAGGUGGAGCUCCAGCUGCAAAGAGCUUGAAAGACAAAAGCACCAUCUCAAAUGGCAAGAUUCAGACGCAGCCGGAGCCGGAGCCUCAGUCGCCGCCGUCGGAGGAGGCGACGUGGAGGUAAAGGUGGAAGGAGGAGGAGGAGAAGGCGCCAUGGCAGAAGGAAAGGUCGCAGGCAUGGUCGCAGAAGGAGAAGAGGGAGAGGCAAGAAAGAUUAAGUUCCAUCUUCAUGAUUCCUCCAUCUUGUACUCCUGACACUGCUGGCCUCUUUUGAGAAUCUGCCAAAAAAUGAAAAAUGAAAACCUUCUGAAGAGAACACCCAGGAUGACUUCCCCUAGAAACAAAAGAGGCUGAAACAAUUUGAACAAUACCACCUGUCAAUAAACAUUGACAUUUUA